rnacentral:rRNA from 1 species
AGGUAUAAUGCAAGUAACGGUCGUUUUAGGUUUUAACCAACUGCGGCUAAUCUUUUUUAUAUGAGCGUAUUGGAACGUUAUCGAUAAGAAGAGAGCGUCUAGGCGAACAAUGUUCUUAAAGUUUGACCUCAAAUCAGGUAGGAGUACCCGCUGAACUUAAGCAUAUCAAUAAGCGGAGGAAAAGAAACCAACCGGGAUUGCCUUAGUAACGGCGAGUGAAGCGGCAAAAGCUCAAAUUUGAAAUCUGGUACCUUCGGUGCCCGAGUUGUAAUUUGGAGAGGGCAACUUUGGGGCCGUUCCUUGUCUAUGUUCCUUGGAACAGGACGUCAUAGAGGGUGAGAAUCCCGUGUGGCGAGGAGUGCGGUUCUUUGUAAAGUGCCUUCGAAGAGUCGAGUUGUUUGGGAAUGCAGCUCUAAGUGGGUGGUAAAUUCCAUCUAAAGCUAAAUAUUGGCGAGAGACCGAUAGCGAACAAGUACAGUGAUGGAAAGAUGAAAAGAACUUUGAAAAGAGAGUGAAAAAGUACGUGAAAUUGUUGAAAGGGAAGGGCAUUUGAUCAGACAUGGUGUUUUGUGCCCUCUGCUCCUUGUGGGUAGGGGAAUCUCGCAUUUCACUGGGCCAGCAUCAGUUUUGGUGGCAGGAUAAAUCCAUAGGAAUGUAGCUUGCCUCGGUAAGUAUUAUAGCCUGUGGGAAUACUGCCAGCUGGGACUGAGGACUGCGACGUAAGUCAAGGAUGCUGGCAUAAUGGUUAUAUGCCGCCCGUCUUGAAACACGGACCAAGGAGUCUAACGUCUAUGCGAGUGUUUGGGUGUAAAACCCAUACGCGUAAUGAAAGUGAACG